rnacentral:rRNA from 1 species
UACGUAGGUGGCGAGCGUUGUCCGGAUUUACUGGGCGUAAAGGGAGCGUAGGCGGACUUUUAAGUGAGAUGUGAAAUACCCGGGCUCAACUUGGGUGCUGCAUUUCAAACUGGAAGUCUAGAGUGCAGGAGAGGAGAAUGGAAUUCCUAGUGUAGCGGUGAAAUGCGUAGAGAUUACACAGAACACCGAUUGCGAAGGCAGCUUACAAAGCCAUAUCUGACGCUGAGGCACGAAAGCGUGGGGAGCAAACAGGAUUAGA